rnacentral:rRNA from 1 species
AUGGUUUGGCUUCUCGACGAUGUCUACGACACGAAACACCGGGCCUACAUGACGCGCGAGAAGGAGAUGAAGCUUGAACCUUUGAAGAUUCGGUAUCACGGGGUCUCUGGUCCUGCCAUGCCUUACGAUGAGCGGUACACACCAUACAUCAAGCAGGCAGGACUACUCCCAUGGAUUCAGUUGGUCAGCCGGUCCACGCCGAAUCUGAACGCUCCACUGGUGUCCGCUCUUGCUGAUCGGUGGAGGCCGGAGACACACAGUUUCCAUCUUCGGACUGGGGAGAUGACCAUGAUGCUCGAGGAUGUCUCGUUGAUCACCGGUCUUGCUCUAGACGAUGCUUAA